UACGUAGGGGGCAAGCGUUGUCCGGAAUCAUUGGGCGUAAAGAGCGUGUAGGCGGUCCGGUAAGUCCGCUCUGAAAGUCCGGGGCUCAACCCCGGGAGGCGGGCGGAUACUGUCGGGCUAGAGUCCGGAAGAGGCAAGUGGAAUUCCUGGUGUAGCGGUGAAAUGCGCAGAUAUCAGGAGGAACACCGAUGGCGAAGGCAGCUUGCUGGGACGGUACUGACGCUGAGACGCGAAAGCGUGGGGAGCAAACAGG
rnacentral:rRNA from 1 species